CUCAUUUUGCUCAGCCGUUCGUUGCAUUUCCUUCCCAAAUCCUCUUUAUCCACAAACCCUAAUCUAACAUACACAAACAAAUAGAUUAGAACCUCAUCCCCUUCACACAACACAGUCGCACCACACCCUGUGCUUCCCCUCUCGUCUCUCACGUCUGGCGCUCCGGCGUCGUGUAACCCGACGGCAAACACCCUUUCUUUCUCGAAAUAUUGCAACCCUCACACCCCCUUUUUUUUUGUAUGACAGGCCGACCACCGUGAUGGUGGCGGCGCACUGCUGUAGCAGCGAAGACAGAGAGACAGAAACGAAGAGAGGGGGGGAGGAUCGACCGACGGUGGCACCACCGGAGCCACAGCAGCGGCGUGGUGGUUACCGCCUGUUUUUCCGGCGACGUGCGACGGUGAGGGCUCCAUCAGUCACAAUCACACCGGAGGUAAUGGUGGUGGUCGAUGGACCGAGCUGACGUCGGACAUGGCUGCAGCACGAGGGGGGGUGUUGAUGGAAACGGUGGUGUCUGGGUAUUGGUGACCGUAAUGGUGGUGGUGUUAAUUCGAGUCUCGGGUUAGAUGCGGGCUCCAGUUCAGAUUCAUGUUCGAGUUUUUGCGAGUCAAGUCUCGUGGUUCACUUUUAGUUCAAGCGGGUCAGAUGGUUCGGUUACGGGUGCGGGUUGGUUUCGGGACAUGGUUCGGGGUUUUGUUUGAUUUGGUUUUUGGUUCGGCUUGUGCGGUUCACACGGUUCAGCAGGUUCACCUUUCGGGUCAACGACUCGGGUCAACAGGCAGUCAACAGUCAACUGCCGGGUCAACAGAAAGUUAACACGCGACCCGGUAAAGUUUAACGACGCGAAAUUAACGUAGAUUUUUGACUUUAUAAUAGUUAAACGCGACCGAGCUCGACCCGUUUCGUUUCGUUUUGGUGUUAGUUUACAUUCAUUAUUACUUGACGAAAAUUUAUAAUUGGAUUAUAUUAGUGAA